rnacentral:sRNA from 1 species
AACGUUAUUUAUUGUCCAGACACUGCGUAUGCCAGGAAUCAUGAAGAUGACCAAUGGUAUUCAUAUGAUGAUAGUAGCGUCACGCCCAUCAGUGAAUCACAAAUUGUGUCCAAGGCUGCGUACGUUCUCUUCUAUCAACGUCGUAAAAUCAGCAGUAAUGAUGUCCAGUCUGAUGGAUGUCACGAUGAGAAUAUGAGUGAACAGAGUUCUCNUGACGAGAGAGGUGACGAGUCAAUGGAUACCUAAUGAUGAAUUAUAAGAGCAUCAAUAGCAAGUCAGUGACUGCUUCUAAGGCUGCUAACAACCUUUUACACAAGAAUGAAGACUUCNCUUCUGAUAUUUGGUCGCCGGAGCCUGGAUCCUGGAUCAUUCUACGUCAGGGCGCAGGCUUCGGCUGAAAAUCAGAACAUCUUCAAAUCACAUGAAUUUUAGUGCACUCUUGAUCUAUNGCAAUGAGAGAAAGCUAAUCAUUCAAUUAAGCUAAUCAACAAAACCGAGGAACAACCGCUAAUAGACCCCGCCUCAUUNGAGCUCGAAAAGAGGACGGUAAAGCACAAUACUUUAGUUUGGUCUCAUGAAACAUGGCAUCUAUUUACAUCAAUAUCGUCCAUGAAGGAUAAUAANGUCUUGGUGGAUAGUUGUAACCUGGUUGUAUUUGUAGUAUGGUCAAGANACCUAGUUUGCAGGUCAAAUAAAUGGCACUAGAGUAGAAAUAUAUUAUUGAGCACCAUUACAAAGAGUCAAAUCUCAUUAAUUGCUGCGUAGUCAGUUUUUGCAAAAUAACGUGACGAAAUAGUUAAGAUUAAAUAAAUCUGAGGUUGUUAUGGAAUAAUUUAUUGUAAAUUUUAUAUUUGUAUUUCAAGCAAAACUUUAUGACAAAAAAACCACUCCUAUCCUAGGUUAUUUUAAACCUGUUUUCAUUGUAAAUCCAGUAACCGUAUUCAGACAGUUUUUCAGUUGUAAUGUUCAUUAAUGUAAUUCCCUUUUAUUUACAUCUGAAAUUGGUAUUUUCAUCAAAGGAACGAAUAAUGAAACGAAGGUCGAGGAUUCAACUCUGAGGCAAUCCUUAAGACACCGAACAUUUUCCGAGUAUUCCUCGGUAUAGCAUUCAAAGUUGAAUCUUCUUGUUAAUAGUGAAUGCCAUGCAUAUUUCAAUAGCUCUGAUANUUUUGUAUUUGCCUAGAAUUUCUUCACUACUCGAGCAGAAUCGAUGACAGAUUGGUUGUCUGCGCGCGAAUUGAGAAUAAGGGCGCGCAAGUUGUUUUUGAUAUUGAAUAUUGAUAGCAGUGUUCAAAAGGCAUUUAAGUAAUGUUUAAAGGCCAGUAACUGGAAAUAAGGUAGAAUACAAGGUACGGGUACUUCCUCUGGUUUCAAGUUACUUCACGUGGUACAAAUUACAAACAGGGAUUGGCUGAAUACCUCAUGAAUAAUUAAUGAGUUUUUGAAUAUCUGUUCAUUUAUGAUUAUCGAUGAAGGUUUACUGCUAAUGACUGAAUACUAAAGUACACAUCCAAUAGUGAAUACUCACAGGAACUUGGUUUUGUGUUUAUGUGUUCUGCAAUCUCACCGAUAACCUCAGUCUUUUUUUUGUAGUGUGAAAUGUUAGUAUUUGUUUGAUCGCCAAUAAAUAUAUAAGUGACUAAAUGA